rnacentral:lncRNA from 1 species
GAUUUGCAGUUUGAUUUGGGGCUAAAGUUUUAAGUAUUCGUCAGCGUGCAUAUUCGCAAGUCAAAAGAGAACUUUGGGGAGUUGUUUCGGCUAUGAAAGCUGAAAAGGACUAUUUGAUUGGGGCAGUAGUAGUAAUUGAAACAGAUUGCUUGCCAUUGCUUGGAAUGAUUAUUAACUGUUCAACGCCAGAUAUUGCAAUGUUGAGAUGGAUUGCUUAUAUUAAGUCACUAAAUCCAGAAUUUAAGCAUAUCACUGGAAAGGGCAAUUUAGUAGCAGACAUGCUAUCUCGAGCAAGAUACGAGAGGGAGGACGAAAUGGUUGAAGACAUUGAUGAUGUCGGAUUGAAAUUCUAUUCAAUAUCAAAUCUCAACAUAGAAGACAAGCUAUUUCUUGAAGAAUCUUAUGAAGGAGAAUUAUUGGAUAUUGGUCAUUAUUUGAAUACCUUGUCUAAGCAGGGGAAUUGAUCUACAGAAAAUUUCAAACAAAUAAGAAAAAAAACAUAUGGAUUUUUACUUCGAGAUAGAUUCUUAUGGAAGAGACUGAAGAAAGGAAUUGGGAUGCCAUGACGAGUGAUAGGCAAAAAAGAAGAAAAACUAAAAUUAUUAAAAAAGUUUCAUGAUAGUUUAUGGGCAGGGCAUAGAGGAAUCUGGGCUACUUUUGCUAAACUCAAGGAACGAUAUUGGUGGAAAAAUAUGUAUCGAGAUGUGGUCUCAUUUGUAGAGUCAUGUAAAAUCUGUCAAUCGUAUUCUAAUAUCCGACAUCGAGAUGGUCUUCAUCCUACGUAUCCUCUGACUAUUCAUUUUAAAUGGGUUGUUGAUUUGGUUAUUAUGUCGGUUGGGUUAUGGCAGAUGAGAUAUUUAGUUUUAGCUCGUGAAGAUUUAUCAAAUCAAGUAGAAGGAAGAACAUUGAGGACAAAAUCUACAGAGGGGAUUUGUAGGUUUUUGCUUGAAGAUGUCAUUUGCCGCUACGGAUGUAUAGGAAAAAUCACUGCAGAUCAUGGAGAAUUAAAUGCACAAGAAGCUCGUAAGUUCUUUGAAAGAUGUGGAAUUAAACUAUCACUGACUAUUGCUUAUAAUCCAGAAGGGAAUGUAAAAAGCGAACGCGGUCACCCAUCGAUUGUGAAAGCAUUAGUUAAAGCUUGUAAUGAGAAAGUUAAAGAGUGGCCACGGCUUUUGUCAUUUGCAUUAUGGACUGAUCGAAAAACACAUAGUUUGGUGACAGUACAUAUGCCAGUAGAACUUAUCACAGGUCGAAAACUAAUUAUGCCGAUUGAAGAAAAGGUAAUUACUUGGAGUAUGCUACCAUGGGAAGAUGGAUUGACAAGAGAAGAACUUCUGGCUAUUAGGAUUCGACAAUUGGAGCAAAGAACGGAAGAUGUCCAGAUAGCAUUGGGAAGGUUAAAAAGAGCAAGGUUACAAAAUAAGGCGCGAUUCGAUAAGCAACAUCGAUUGAGACCUAAAGCAAUCGAGGAAGGUGACUGGGUACUUGUUUAUGACAAUAGUCUGGAUAAUCAACAUAGUACUUUGCGGAAAUUUUCAAAACGUUGGUUUGGACCAUAUGUAUAAUAACUGUUCAUGAUAAUGCGACUUACUCAUCAUGGGAGUUAGAUGGUACAAAAUUGAAAAUACCAAUUGCAGGGAAGCGAGUAAAAAUAUUUAAACGAAGACACACAGAGAUGAAUAUGGAAGACCUUAAUGAAGGUAUAGAGAUUCCGCAGCAAGAGAUUGAAAGUGAUUUGGAUAAUGAAGGUGACGAAGACAAACUGGACAAAGACGUAGAUGAUAUAUUCUAAAUCAAACAGCAAUUGGAUAAAUUGGUGCAUAUCAGAAGAUGCACAGGUUCAGAGGGGGUGGAUGUCGUGUUGUAAUACGAGUAUACCGUGAAAAUAUAAAGAAAGGGGACUUUUAUUAAUGUUUGGUUAUCUCGAAUAUUGGGAGCAACGACCAAUUCCUGUGCAAAUAUUGAGUGGCCAGUUUCAGUCACCCCGUUACAGUCAGUCGGGGCAUACUGAAAUGCUCCGUUCAAUUCUAAUAACGAGAGUCAGUAGGAAGAGAAAGGACCAAUUCACACGACGGGUGAGCCUAGUUCAAAGAGCCAAUUGGAUCCAAUUUCAAGACAUCCAAUCCGGGUCCUCUUACCCAAUAUGAGACCUGAAUUGGUCGGGCAACCCAAUGCAGUCUAAUUACGAGAAAAUCCAGGUCUUACUACGGGCCUCAGCUAAUCUGACGCGAAGGACCAAAUUGAUCCAAUUACGGGAACAUCCGAGUCUUUCUACUGGACUCUUACCCAAUAUGAGACCUGAAUUGGUCGGGCGACUUAAUGUAGUCACGAUUACGGGGCUUCGAUUCCAUUUCUGGCUGUUCUAUUCCAUGUGCCAUUCCGGGAACGUCCUUUCGGUACAAGGAUCUCUUAAAGGUGAAAAUGGAGGAGAAAGCUUUGACGGCGAGAGCCAAUUUUGGAUCAUGCUCUGAUGGCGGGAGCCAAUUUUGGAUCCAAGAUGGAAGAUUGAAGAAAUUCAGAAUUAAGGUUAAGAAAUGAGAGGGGAGGAGUUAUUUUUUGGGAGGUUUUGAAGGAUUGGGAGAGCUAGCUUCAUGCUUCGGGCGGGAAAAAAAGACAGAGAAUUGGAUUUUUUUUCUUCAUAGGGUUUUGGAAAGACUGAGGCAAUCGUUGCUAAAGUCAGUGUUGUAAUGGUGAAUCGAGAUUUUUAAUGAAGUGGAUUUGAAUACUCUUUACUGCUUUGUGAAAUCGAGUUACAUCUAUGAUGAAGAAUUAAAAGGGUGUCUAUAGGAUUGAGUAUGCGGAGUGAAUGAAAUUUAUUGGAUUAAUCUAAUGAGACAGUCAGUGGAUACAAGAUCGUGAGUAUAAAGCGGUAUCGAAGAUUAGCAGUUUGGAUUGUUCGGGGUUCUCUGUAACGUCUAGAGAUCCACUGGCUGGGGCAAAAAGUACUUUGGCGAGCAGUCGAAGGGCAUCCGUAUAGAUUUACGGUGUAUUCUUGUAGUGGCUUAUAUUCGAACAGUCAAAAACUGAUAGACUGCUUGAAUAUUGGCGAAUCUCCAUACUACCUUCUACAGCCAGACGCCCGGCGCAUUCUCAAGCAGAAAAGCACGUAAUACGACAACUUAUAAAGUUACUACUAAUGCUAUCUCUUUACUAUUGGUUUAUGGCCAGAAAGUAAUAUUACCUAUUGAAUUGGAAGUCCAAAGUUUACGAAUUACUAUAGAUAAUAGAUUGGGAGAUCAUGAUUCAUUAUAGCACUAUUUAGAAGAAUUAGAAAAAUUAGAUGAAAGUAGAGCCAAUGCAUUAAUGAUAAUGGAAACUACACAAAAAUGAAGGAAGACUUAUUAUGAUAGUAAGCUUAGACCAAAGGCUUUUAUGCCAAAUAAUUUGAUAUUUCUUUAUGAUAGUCAAUUUAAAAAUUUUCUAGAAAAAUUUCAAGUUCGAUGGUAUAGGCCAUAUCGAGCUCUUGAUGGAUUUUCAAAUGGUUCAGUGCAAUUGGAAGAUUUUAUGGAUACUAAAUUUAUGACAUAGAUCAAUGGCAAUCGGCUUAAACUUUACUAUACAUAAAUCCGGGACGGAUUUUUUAUUACAAAAGAAAGAAAAAUCAACCCAAUUGAUUGGACCAUAGUAAGAAAUAUGAUGGGGGCUCUUGACAAGCAUUGUGUUUUCUUUUGUAGUUAAAGAGAAGUGGAUGGAGGAAAAGGAGAAGAUGACAAACAUGGUAUCUGAGAAUGCAAGGAUGGGGACCGAUUGGAAGGAACGGCAAGAGCGGCUGUAGGUAGAGGUUGAGAUAUUGCAGACUAAACUAGCCGCAUUAGCGAAGGAGGCCAAUAAUGUAGUGUGGAUCAAUACGCAAGUUUCAGUGACAACACCUUUGGAGAUACCUUUGAAAUCGAUAGAAGAAUGGUAGAAAAUAUUAGAGGAGCACGACAACCAAAUUUCUCAAUGUAAUUGUCGUUUUACUUAUUCUACAAUUCCUUCCAGAAUAAAUCUGUAUAAGAGAAUUCAAAUACAUGGAAAGACUAAGCGCAUGAGUUUCAUUUAUUUGGGUCACACAAUUAAUUGUAUUCCGAACCACUAAAAUACUAAAAAAUACUACAAUGCUUCCUCUCAAUAAUAAUACUCCUUUAUCAACUGAUAACCACAAUGUGUAAUCUUGCACUCUCAAAAGAUCGCUCAAAACUCAAUAAAUUCCAUCCAAUAUCAGAAAUAACAGACUUCACUCCAACCAAUCUGAAUUCACAAAAUUCCUAUAAUCAGAGACUUCCUCUAUCUAAACACACAGACACAACUCUCAAUAAACAACAAUCAUAAUCUUCCAUCCAUAAUCAAUCGUUCAAUAACUUCUCAUAUAAUUCAAUCACACAGUAAUCCAAUUACAUAAUUAAUAACUCAUAAAUCAAUCUCUAAUUUAUUCCACAGACUUGCUUCUCAGUAUUCAAAAAUUAUCCAUUACUCUUCAACAACAAAGAAAACAAAAGAAACAAAGAGGAAGCACCAAGCUUAAUCCUGGCUCAUGACUAUCACGGUCUGGUAUCAAGGACAAAGACUCGAUGAGGAAAAAUAUACACCAAAAGGCUAUCUCGAUAUAAUAAGUCAAAAUAUAAACAAGUAGGUAUAUUAAAAGGAAACUGGAAUGGCUAUUGCCACAAGACAAGAAAUUAAAGACUCUUGAACCUGGACUAGAAGCAAGAAAGGAGUUGACAAGAGUGAAGAAGCCUUCACUCUUGUCUCUAUAUAUACUAUCUAACUAGGGGCUACGUGGCGACGUUCUAUAGGACCUCCAAUAUGUGUUGACUUUGUAGGACACAUGCCUUGACUUACAAGGCAAGUUUUUCUACGUGUGGGCCACAUAGUUAGCUUGAUCUUCAAGCUAACAACAUGUGUGGCACAUGGCCAACUUGUUGACCACGUUUCUAAUCCAAAAAGUCAAUUAAAGACACCUAUGAAGUCAAAGCAGCGUCUAGGAAGUUUCUAGGAAGCUUCUAUAUUAAAUAUUAUAUAAUUAACUUACUUUUAUCUACUUUUACUUACUUCUACCUAUUUCUAUAUGUAAUUAUUAGCUUACAUGAUUAUGGCCGUGACAUUACCCCCUCUUCUAGAGACGAGUUCCACGAGGAGCGGUCAUCAUAUGUUGAAGAAAUCUAUGAUGCGACGAAUUGUAUUCGCCACAUACUCUGAUCUCUGUUUUCUUCGAAGAUGAUUGAUAGGGCCUCUCAACCAUCGGUAGUGUCCCAUACCAGGGCGGGAAGACCACCCAGUUAUUUGAUCAUUAUUGAGGCCUUCAUAACUUCCUUCGAAUAGAAUAUUCGGAACACCAUCAGGAGUUGUUCCUACCUCUAGCAAAAUCACCAAACAUCGGGAGUCCCUUCCCAAAUCAUGAUACCAAACGCGUUGUAUCUCACCAUCUGUUCAAGGAAGAACAUGUCGUUCUUGAAGAUCUUCAUCUCGAUUGCGUCGUCUUGAAGGUUGUGACAAUCGUAAUGUCUCGUCCGACAGGUCAGCAAACGAAGGUUCUUGAGUUGAAUCCGCUGGUUGUUGGCUCUCCAUCUAAUUAGCAUCACAAAUGUAAAGAAGUUACAAACAAGGAUAGGAAAUUGAAUGUUAUCUUGCCUCAAUCUUGUCUCUUUUAUAAGAGAGAUUUUCAUCUUGGUUUUGAUGGAUGUCGUUGAUGAAAAACUUUGACUUUAGUUGAUGCAUUUGCUAGAUUCCUGGAUGGCUCCCAUGUGCGUUCACUAAUAUCAUAUCCGCGCCAAUGAACAAGAUAUUCCAGCUUAUUUCGGCGCCGCCUUGAGUCUAAUAUCUCUUCCACCUCAAAUUCUUCAUUAUUAUCUACUUCUAUAGGAGGCGAUGGCAUUUGUCUUCUUCCUUGUAUAUCCACUGUCUUAUAUGGUUCAAGAAGAGAUACGUGGAAUACAGGAUGGAUCUUCAUUGACUCCGGUAGAUGUAACCGAUAUGCAACUGGGUUGAUCUGUUCAGAAACAGAAAAGGGGCCAAGCCUACGAUAGUCCAACUUGUCACAAGGUCAAAUAGUCUUGAUAUUGCGACGAAGUAGCCAUACCUUAUCACCCACGUUGGUUUGUGGUUGCUCCUUACGAUAUAGAUCUGCGUUUAUUUUUUGUCGUUCUUGAGCUUCCUUCAAUUGUGUCUUCAUUAUUGCAUGUAACUCUGACAACCAAUUUGCCAUAUCUUCUGCUGCAGGAUUAUCAACUUUUGAAAAAUCAAAAGUAUCAAGUCGUGGAUGAUAGCCAUAAUUGGCAAAGAAAGGUGUUUGUUGCGUGGAAGAAUGUACCGUAUUAUUAUAAGCAAACUCUGCCAAUGGCAGAAGGGUUGUCCAAUCAUCUUGUUGGUAGUUGAUAGUACACCUUAAAUAUUGCUCCAAGACUUGGUUUACGCGCUCUGUUUGUCCAUCAGUUUGAGGAUGGAAAGCUGAAGAUAGCUUUAUGUCCACUUUUGAAAUCUUGAAAAGAGUCCUCCAGAAUCUCGACACAAAUUGAGUUCUCCUAUCCGAUAUGAUAUCUUUAGGUAAUCCAUGAUAGCGAUAGAUAUUAUCAAUGAAAAGCUUAGCUGUUUCUUCACCUGUGAUAGAUUUUGUACAUGGCACAAAAUGUGCCAUCUUGGUGAAACGAUCUACUAUCACAAAUAUAGAAUCAUAAGAUCUUGAGUUUGGAAGAUCUGUGAUGAAAUCCAUAGAAACAGAAGACCAUGGUUGUUCUGGUAUAGGUAAUGGCUGAAGAAGUCCGUAAGGUCGAUGUCGAGGAAUUUUUGAUCUUGAACAAAUAUCACAUGAUUGUACAAAGUCUUUGACUGACUUCCACAUUUGUGGCCACCAAAAAUCUCUUGAUAUGAGUUCCAAAGUCUUAUUAUAUCCAAAGUGCCCUGCUGCUGGAAAGUCAUGACGUGCUUGAAGAACACGUAAACGUGCUUCUCCUUCUGGAACAUAUAGGCGUCCUUCAAAAUAUAAUAGAUUAUUCUUGAACUCAAACUUAGAAGGAUCAUGAGACUUGGAAGAAUUAUUCUCGAUAUCAUAAACAAGAGGGUCUGAGGACAUAUUGGACUGGAUUUGCUUAAGAAAAGUUGAAUCAACAGUCAAUGUUGAUUUCAUUGCUCGGAGAUGAAAUUGCUCCGGUUUCAAGAGGACCGUUCUUUGUUGCUCAAAAGCUGCAUCUCCUUCUUUUGGUGCAAAAUAAGAACGUCUAGAUAGGGCAUCGGAUAAACCUUGUUGUUUUCCUGGCCGAUAAGUGAUAAUGAACUCGAAUCUUGACAAAGACAUACUCCAACGAGCUUGACGACGAUUCAACACGCGUGCUGACAUGAAAUACUCGAGGUUCUUGUGAUCUGUAUACACAGUGACUGGACUAGAAGCGCCUUCUAGAUAAUGACGCCAUUCUUGAAAGGAAUCCACGAUCGCAAGAAUUUCUUUAUUGUGGAUCUCAUAAUUGAUCUCGGCUGCUGAGAAUUUUCUUGAAUGAAAAGCUAUCAGAUGGAGUUUGUCAUCUGUUCCCAUUUGUGAUAAAAUUGCACCCAAGGCAAAAUCUGAUGCAUCUAUUUCCAUAAAAAAUGCCUUGGAAAAGUCAACACGAUAUAAGACUGGUGCAGAGACAAACGAUGUCUUCAAGGCUUCAAAUGCUGCUUCCGCUUCUUGAUUCCAUUGAAAUUUAUCUUUACUAGUCAAGCGUGUAAGUGGAGCUGCAACUCGUGAGAAAUCUUUGAUGAAGAUCCGAUAGUAAUUGGCAAAUCCCAAGAAACAUUGGACAUCUCUUACUGUCCUUGGAAUCUUCCAAUCCACGAUUGUUUGGACUUUCUUAGAAUCCAUCAUGAGACCAUCAUUUGAAAUGAUGUAUCCUAAAAAGUCAACUUGAGUAGUGUGGAAUACACACUUUUUCAUCUUGGCGUACAAUCCUGCAUCUCUAAGUUUUUGUAAUACUUGACGAACAUGUAUUUCAUGUUCUUCGACGUUCUUGGAAUAGAUCAGGAUAUCGUUUAAAUAGCAGACGAAAAAAUUGUCUAAGAAUUCACGAAAUAUAUCAUUCAUGAGAUGUUGAAAAGCAGCUGGUGCAUUCGUGAGUCCAAAGGGCAUGACAUUAUAUUCGAAAUGUCCAUACCUGGUUCGAAACGCAGUCUUCCAUUCAUCUCUUUCUUUGAUCUGUACUAGAUUAUAUGCUCCUCUUAGAUCUAUUUUUGUAUAGAUCUUAGCUUGAUUCAACUGGUCAAGGAGUCCUGAUAUCUAACGUAAUGGAUACCUGUUCUUGAUUGUGAUCUUGUUGAGUCCUCGAUAAUCAACACACUUUCGUAAAGAUCCAUCUUUUUUCUUUACGAAUAGAAUUGGAGCUCCUGCUGGAGAUUUUGAAUGGCGUAUGAAAUUCUUCGCUAAAUUCUCGUCAAUAUAUGUCUUGAGUUCAGCCAUCUCAACUUGCGAUAAACUGUAAAUUGGUCCAAAUGGUGGCUGAGUUCCUUCCUUGAGGUCGAUUGAACAAUCAUAUGGACGAUGCUCAGGAAGAAUAUCUGCAUUCUUUUUCUCAAAAACGUCUUGAUACUCCUGAUAUUGACUUGGAAUGCCACUUGAAGUCUUUACGUUUUCAAAAAUAGGUGCAGCAUAAAUAGCAAAAGUUGAUCCUUCUUUUGCUACGUGUAUAAAUGCUUUUGCACCUAUCAGUACGGGUUUUACUGUACUAGACUUAUAAUUUUUUACUUGGUUCGUAGAACUAUUAAUAACGCUUUUGAAAAAGUCAAGUUUACGCAAAUUCCAAUCUAUUCGAGGGUUAUAUUUUUCUAGCCAGGAUAAACCUAAAAUAACUGGAUUGGACGGGGAUUUAAUUAUGUUAAAAGCUAUGUAGCUAUCAUGACCGUCUAUUGUUACUUUUAUAGGAUGAGUUUCAUGAGUGACAUCUCCAGAAGACAAGGGACGACCAUCUAUGACUUCUACAUGUACUGGUUUAGGUUUCUGUACAAAGGGUAUUUUACGACUUUUAACAAAUUGUUCAUCUAAAAAACAUGCUGAGGCUCCCGAAUCUAAUAAAGCAGAGGCUUUGUAAUUCUUAGGUCCUAAAUAUAAGUCUAUUAUAAAACAAGGAGAGGGUUCUGAGGAGAGGAUAGGACCUUCAUUAGGAAUUGUACAAGGUUCCAGCUGCACGGUCCCUAUUGUAGCUGGACGAAUCCGUUUUCCGACAUGUUGUCUUCUUUCACCGUCGUAUCCCUCAUUUUAUAGUUGCGUCGUUUCUUUGGACAAUGUUGAGCAGUGUGCUUAGGUUCUCCGCAAUAUAAACAUAAUCCUUCUUGACGACGACGAAUCUUUUCUUGCUCAGUUAGGGGUUUAAAACGUACCGCGUCAAUUUGCAUGUCUUCUACUUCUGAAUGUACGUUUGGCAAAGAUGUUGAUGUUGCCAUUGAGUAAUAACGUUGAGGUUCCCGUGAAUGAUUCUCAGAUCGAAAUUCAAAAAGUCGAUUAUCACAUUUUACCGCAAAAUCGAUUGCUUGACUCAAAGUUUGAGGAUCAGGUAAGUUGAGCAUCAAUUUCUUUACUUCGUAUUGCAAUCCAUAAAGAAAUUGACUGAUGAGUGCAGCAUCAUCCCACUUGAUGUCAAUUGCAAGUUGUCGAAAUUGUGAAGCAUAUACUGUUACUGAGCGAUUUUCUUGUCGCAGAAUUUGGAUCUUAUUUGUUGCAACACGAGUUGCAUCGUGUUCACCAUACAUAGAUCGUAACUCUGCCAAAAAAGCUUCCAAAUUGUCCAAUAUUGGAUUUCGUUGUUCAAGAAAAGACGAAAACCACGAUAAUGCAGAACCAGAAAGUAGAGUGCUAAUAAACCUGACUUGUGAUCUUGGAGUUGGAUAGCUUUGCGGUUGAAGUUCAAUUGCCAAUUGUACUUGAUUGAUGAACCCUCAAAACUUUGAUCUCGUACCAUCAAAUUUCUCAAGUAAGGCAAUUCUUGGUUUUCUAGUGCUUAUAGGGUGUUGUACAAUUGGAGAAGGAACGUGAUUUGUUGUAGAUGUUGAAGCAACUCCGAUCAUCUCUAUAUCUCCACUUUCUGCUAUUCUUGUUCUUUCAUGUGUUGGUGAAUUGAGUUGAUGCAUCGCAAGCAUUAACUCCCUCAUUUGCUCUUGCAUUUGUGCCAUUGCACUCUUCAUUUCAACAAGUUCUGCCAUAAUGACACUAAGAAGAAAAAUUUGUUUGAUAUUGCUCAAGACAAAAGAAAAGAAAGACUUGAUAACAAAGAAGAUACUAAGAACAAUAUCAGUUUAGAAGUGGGUAAUCCGCAAACUUCUAAUACGCUUAUGUCUUGUCAAGAGAAAGGGGUAAUCCACUCUUACUCAAGAAAAAACAAAGCUUUGAUAUUGUAAGUGUACUCUUGUCAAUCUGUCAAGGACAAAGACUCGAUGAGGAAAAAUAUACACCAAAAGGCUAUCUCGAUAUAAUAAGUCAAAAUAUAAACAAGUAGGUAUAUUAAAAGGAAACUAGAAUGGCUAUUGCCACAAGACAAGAAACUAAAGACUCUUGAACCUGGACUAGAAGCAAGAAAGGAGUUGACAAGAGUGAAGAAGCCUUCACUCUUGUCUCUAUAUAUACUAUCUAACUAGGGGCUACGUGGCGACGUUCUAUAGGACCUCCAAUAUGUGUUGACUUUGUAGGACAUAUGCCUUGACUUACAAGGCAAGUUUUUCUACGUGUGGGCCACAUAGUUAGCUUGAUCUUCAAGCUAACAACAUGUGUGGCACAUGGCCAACUUGUUGACCACGUUUCUAAUCCAAAAAGUCAAUUAAAGACACCUAUGAAGUCAAAGCAUCGUCUAGGAAGUUUCUAGGAAGCUUCUAUAUUAAAUAUUAUAUAAUUAACUUACUUUUAUCUACUUUUACUUACUUCUACCUAUUUCUAUAUGUAAUUAUUAGCUUACAUGAUUAUGGCCGUGACAAUUGGUACCUUGACAAACUUCUACAACUCCUAUAUAAUUGCUACUGAUUUCCAGAUUCUAAUCAUAAUCUUAAAAUAACCACUUUUAAUAACUGAAUCAAUCAUCCAUUGUCGUACUGUAAAUGCUUACAGUAUGUAAAAAUUAGUUAACAUAUAUUAUAUGUUGAUAAAUCUAAAUAUGUUUUAGAGUGACUAGUAGAUUAAAUUAAAAAGAGUUGGUAUAGGAAACUUUACUUUGUUUCUUUACUUCUUUUGAUUUUGACAUUAAAAUAUAUAUAUAUAUAUAUAUAUAUAUAUAUAUAUAUUUAUAGGACCUAAAUGUUUAGUAUGAAGCCUUGGGAGAAGAUAGAAACCUAAGGAUGAAAAUCUAAACUAGUAGGAGGCUAAUUGGAAGGGAUGAAAGCAUGGCAUGGUCAGAUGAGGGCAAGGAAUGGAGAACUUCAUCCCUAUUGGUCGAAUACCAUGCCCAAUGGACUUUGAGGAGGCUAUCUGCGACCUUAAGAAGGGUUUCGGUGACUUCAAAGGGGGCAUUCGGAGAUUAAAAGCUAGGAUUGUAAAAUUUAGGAUUUGGAGAACAAUUUGUAUAUAAAAAUUAGAGGAUUUGGAGUUAGGGUGAAAAAGUUAUAACCGUUUGAAGUUAAAGUGUUUAUUUAAGACAUACUAUUACUCUUUUGAGAGUACGAGGAGUUUUACAGCAUCUUUUGAAGAUUGGAAGGUGCGAGUAAAACGAAGAUUUCAAGGCCUACAUCUUUUAUGAAAGAAUUAUUGCUUUUGGAGUUCAUAUGAAGGAGUUGUAAGGAGUUGAAGGCGACGCUUCCAAAUCAAAAGUAGUAAGUAAGCGGGUUUGUUUGUAGUAAUGGUUGAAGCCAUAACUUGAGUUUUCGAACGAAUUUUUGGCUCAAACUUUUUGGAGAAUGUAAAAUUUUGUGUUAAAAAGCUAUAUAUACAAAUUUCGUGGCAUUUGAGUUUAUAUUUUAUGAGAUAUGAAGAAAAUUGCACGUAGAUGUAUAAAGACAAGGGUUUGAAGCGACUGUUAGGAGUUUCAAGAUAUCUCAAGAUCUGCAAUGAAUUUGCAAUUAAAAAUUAUUGUAGAAGUUAAUAAGAAUACAUCAGUAUCUCAUGUAAAUUUUGAGUUUUUUUGGACAGACGGAUUAAGAGAUAUGAGGUGUUGAAGUUUGGAAAAAUCUCCACAUAAGAUUAAACAAGGAUUUAGAAGAUUUUAUCAUAUUUUGGAAGUUGUGGAUUACUUGAGGAUUGUGUAUUUGGUAUAAUUACUCAAAAAGAGAAAAAUUAUAUAUAAACUUAGGGCUUCUCUAAUUUUUAAGCUUAAUUGAAUAAUUAGUGACAACCAGAAGCCCAGCAUUUUCUUGAAGCAAACUCUCUCUACCCCGACACCGUCCUCCUAAACUGACUAUUCUAUGGACUAUUAAUCUAUUUUAUCAAUAUCUUAUAAAAACAAACUAAUAUUUAUUUUACAUAGCCCCACUUCUAUCUAUGGAGCAUCCUUGCAAAUACAUAAUUGAUUCUUAUCUAAAAACUACUUAACAAAAUUCUACAAAAUUAGUAAUUCCUCUAGCCCAUCCAAUUAAACAUUUGCUAUAUUAUCGAAUGUAGGUUCCACCGAUUCUGGUUCUAAAUUCAAAUUUUUCUCCUCCUCCAAUCCGUCCAUCGACUCCUUUGUCAAUUGAUUUGAUAGAUCUUCAUUAUACUCACCCAAUUCAUGGACUUGAGCCUCCAAUUUUAAGAUUUGGACAUCACAGAGUUCCAAUUGAUGCUGCUGCUGACUCAUCCAUUGUGGAACAUCUUCAAUUGAUACUUGAGACUGGCUUCUCACUGUUAACUCUACCAUCAAUUUUGUCACCUCAGCUUGUAAAACUUCGAUUUUGGACCUCAACUUCUUCGUUUCGUAUCUGGAUUGGUCACUCAAUGCUUCUUUCUCUUUCAUCAAUAACUUUACUUUUUCUCUUUCUGCUUGCAACUGACAUUUGAGUUUCUCCCGUUCCAAAUCUCAUGUCUUGCGAUUCUGGAUCAAUUCAUCUCGUUGUCCUUCCACAAUCCAUAAGAUGUGUUCUUUUUCUUUCGUCGAAGACUCAUAUUGGUGAACCCAUUUCCACUCCAAUACUAGCUUAGAUUCCCCAAUUUCGUGUAUCGUCCAUUCUUGCUCUUCAAUUCUUUGGUUUUACUCUGAUAUCACCUUCUUACUAUCCUCUAAAUCUCGUUUGCUAUUGCCUUCUACAUCCAAUGCUUGUACCAUACAAUGUAUUUGUGAAACGUACUUCAAUAAAGCAUUCUUAAGAGGUAUUCCUUUGGACAAUCGACCUUGUGGAAACGCCAACUGAUUAAUAUCUAUCGAAAUUGGGAUUUCAUUUGCCUCCUCCACUGCUAAACAAAUUAGAACCCGUUGUCGUAAUACAUGAAGUCUUGCUUGAGAAUGCUCUGGGCACAUGGCUGUGGAAGGAAGAAUGGAAAUUAUAAUAACAAAAUCCUAAUUCUAAUAGAAUACUAACAAUGUUCUAAUUAGACCAUAAUAAUGCUAAGCAAGCUUAAUCAAAUUCAAAAAAACCUCAAAGAAAUUUCAAACAAACAAUAAGAAUUCUUAAAGAAAUAUUAAAAAGAUCACAAAUAUCAUUCAAAUAUAUCUCAAUUCAAUCUUAAUUUAAUUCUAGUUAAAAUCCUAUUGAACUUUAUUCAAACUUUAGGCCAUAACUAAUUGAAUCUUAAAUCCUAAUAAAAUCCUAAACCCUGAAUCAAACCCUAAAAAAAACUUAAACUAAACCCCAACCAUAUCCUAAAACAAAUCCUAAAUUCUAAAUAAAUCCUAACCAAAUCCUAAUCCAAACUCUAAACCCUAAAUUAAAUCCUAACCAAAUCUUAAACCCUAAAUCAAAUCCUAAUCCAAAUCCUGAAUCCUAAACCAAAUCCUAAUCAAAUCCUAAUCCUAAACCAAACCCUAAUCCAAAUUCUAAAUCCUAAAUCCUAAAUCAAACCCUAAUCCAAACUGUAAUCAAAUCUUAAACCAAAUCCUAAACCAAAUCCUAACCAAACCCUAACCAAACCCUAAACCAAAUCCUAGUAAUUCCUACAAUAGAU